rnacentral:rRNA from 1 species
UACGAAGGGGGCUAGCGUUGCUCGGAAUCACUGGGCGUAAAGCGCACGUAGGCGGAUUGUUAAGUCAGGGGUGAAAUCCUGGAGCUCAACUCCAGAACUGCCUUUGAUACUGGCGAUCUCGAGUCCGGGAGAGGUGAGUGGAACUGCGAGUGUAGAGGUGAAAUUCGUAGAUAUUCGCAAGAACACCAGUGGCGAAGGCGGCUUACUGGUCCGGAUCUGACGCUGAGGCGCGAAAGCGUGGGGAGCAAACAGG